AAAGAGCACUAAAGUAAAGAGUAAAGACUAACUGCAAUCCCUGAAAACCACAGUAGUUCAACAGAAAGGCACCCUUAAGAAGCUUUGUUCCUAAAAUAUCUAAGCAUUAUGGGGGGCCUUAGCUGUUUUAAUAAUAAUAGAAGCAAGAUCAUCUUGAGCAUUCAGUAAUAAAUUUCCGACUGAAAACGCUAAAAGUUAACAAAAAAA